ensembl:lncRNA
CAGAGGAAAGAGCAGGAGGAUAGAAAAGAAGGGAGAGCCUAAGAGGUGGGCAGAUGGAAAAGGAGUGAGGGAAGAAAGAAGAGCAGAAGAGUAGAGCCAAUGCAGAAGAAAGAGGAGUGAGGAAGCAGGGAAACAUACAGCAGAAGAGAAAAGCAGAUGCAGGUGAAAGAGCAGUGGUGAGAUGCAAUGGAAACCAUCAGAAGAGUGAGGAUACAAGGAGGAAAGAACAGAAGAGGAGCACAGCUGCCCGAGAAUGAGCAGUGAGAAUACAGGGAAGAAAGAGGAGGAGGAGAGCAGAUGCAGAAGAAAAGAGACGUCACGUUACAGGGAAGAAAAGCAGGGCAGAUGAAGUACGGAGAGGAAGCAGGUGAAAAAAACGCCAAAGAGCAAGGAUAGAGAUGAAAGAGCAGUGAGGAUACACAGAGGAUAGAACAGCAGAAGAGAAGCAGAAGAGAAAAAACAGGAAAAGAGUGAGAAUGCAGACGGAAAAGCAGGGAGAAUACAGGGAAGAACCAAGAGCCUAAGAGAAGUGCAAAUGCAAAAGCAAGCGAGGCUACAGGGAAGAAAGGACAGCAGAAGGGGAGUGCAGGUGCAGAUCCCCCAAACACAGCACUCCCUGCCCGCUAGGGUUGCGGGUGCGACGCAGUCACCACAAUGACGUCGAGGAUCAAUGCCGGGUAAUUCAGUGAGCGUUCCAACAAAGAAUCAAGGAAAAAACUGCCAGGCAAAACUAAGAAACCCUGGCAACAGGUCUUCAACGUUACGCGUAGAGUCCUUUGGAACAGGAGUUGUUUCUGUGUCAACAACUUGAAGAUCAAUUCAGGCAACGGCUACUAAAGAAAAACGAGUCACAUUACAUGGAGAGCAAAGAAGAGAAGAGAGAGGAAACAGAGAGGUGCCAGCACUGCCACCCGGGGUGGGCAGCAGGCUGCUGGUGCCAGCGUCAUCAUGGGCGGCGGCCAGCACUGGCCACGCUGUCACCGCGUCGCCGUGGCGACGUUUGUGACACGGCCACCCGGGAGGGGUAUGAAGGCGGUGCAUGCUGGUGGGUCCUGCAUCCUGAAGGAGCAUCUGGUAGAGAGCAGACGCACCUGAAGGGAUGAGCUCCGGCAUGGCUGGCGCCAACAAGGAGCAACCCGCUGGCAUGAGGCGGAACAGGAUGAGCUUCUGCGAGGAUGGCCCCGCAGCGAGGCGUGCCUCCGGACCCACAUGCACCGACACCGAAGGUACAUGGCUCCACAGCCACCACAGGAGCGCUGCUGCAGCCAAUCCUGGCACGCAGACGACACUUUCCAUCUGCCACCUCACUCCCGCCUGGCAGCGGGAGGGCUGCCGGGAAGCGGCAGGUGCAGAGUGUGACCCGCUUUUCCUUUGCCCUCCAGAGCGAGUUGCCGUCUGGGAUGCGGUGGCCGCCUACGUACAAGAGCACCUCCUGGUGCAGAAGGUGGGUUGGCUGCCGGGUUCCUCCUCUCCCUGUCCGCCUCAGCCAAGACCUCCUCCCACUCUUCCCCUCCACAGAAAGCAGGAAACUCACCCCACGUGUCUCUACUGGGCAUGCCAUGGGCAUCCUGCAAAACCCGCAGGAUCACUUGUGCUGGGCGCUGUCCUGUCUCAGGGCUGAUCCCGCUCGCGGGAAGCCUCUGGAUCCCAUCAGGCUGCUUCUGCCCUGACUGCUGUGCUGCAUUUGGGAGGGCGAGGGGAAGGAGAGGACUGUGCAGCCCCUUCCCAAAGCCAUUCCCGAUGCCCUGGCUCGUGCCUCUGAACAGCGGGAGAGGGCUCCUGAGCUCCGUCCCUGCCUUGGACCGCUACAUGGGCUCUUCCUCCAGCCAGCCGGCCCAUAACCCUGCCGCCCUUCCUUUCUCUACCACUUGUAGGGGGUCUGGAUUCCCACCUUCGGAUCCUUUGACACCAUCUCCAGAGACAUCAGGACUGAGGACGGGACCGUGACUCUGCGGUGGCCUGUCUUUCACUUGUCUGGAAACCUCAUAGCCGUGCACCACCUCAAGCCCCGCAGGGAGUCCCUGCCAGGUAGGAGGGAGGAUUAAAGCUUUGCUGGCUUCACGCACUGGGCCAACAGGGCCACCGCCUCCAUUCUCCAAAGCAAACCUCCCCCUCGGAGGAGCCCAGCCAAACAUGGGGCCGUUCUGGCUGAUGGCCACAAGAAG